UGUUCUAGGUAAUCGCAGUGAGUCCAACGAUUCAUUGAGGAAAGUCCAUGCUCGCACAAGCUGCGAAGCUUGUAGUGAUCGUGCUUAGCGAAACCAUAAGCUAAGGUAACUUUUUAAGUUAACGGCGAAUAAAAAACCUAAGGUUUAACUAUGGUUGAGUCAUUCAUAAAGUGCCACAGAAACGAGUCUUAUUGGAAACAAUAAGAAUGGAACGCGGUAAACCCCUCGAGCGAGCAACCCAAACACUUAAGGUAGGGGCACUUCUUCUAGGGAAAUGAACCGAUGAAGAAGACACAUUUUUGUGUAGACAGAUGAUUACCCAUCACUUAAUGGCCUAUUCAUUAAGUGAGGACAGAACAUGGCUUAUAAGA
rnacentral:RNase_P_RNA from 1 species